UGCACCCUCGUUCAACGCCCUAAUCCAACGUCUCAGAUUUGCUUUGACCAGGUUUAUGGUUUCACUUCGACUUCUUCUUCUCUCUUCAAAUUUUCAUACGUUUUUUCAGUAUUCAAUUUUCAUACGUUAUGCACAUUAAAGAUCCCCAUUACCAUUUACAAGCACCAUAAUUUUUGGAAUUCAAUCCCGGGUAUUCCAAUUACCAUAAAUAAAUAGAGAUCUCCGUCGAUUGAUCAUCUUCGAAGUUUUCCUGUUUGUCAGUGGUUUUUCUUUAUUUUUUGAUGUAUUGUUGCAGAAGAUUUUUUUUUUGAAAGAGGACAGAAUGAGAAAGCAUCCAUCUCAGAUUUUUGUUUGUGGAGGAUAUAUUGAGAAAAGUGCCAACAUCCGUCUCAAGUAAAUGUGAAGCCAUGUCGGGUUUAUAAUUUCAAUUUUAUAUAUAGGUUUUGGCUGCAAUCUAAAGAGGCGAGAAAGAACGUUUUAUCAUUCUAAAAUUUUGGUUAAUUAUUUGUUUUAUGCUCUGAUAUACUCAGGUCUGCUACAAAUCGAAAAUGCUGAGAUUUUGUUUUCAGAGAUCUUGGGACCCUUACAAGUGAUCCAUGAGUGACAGUUAAAUGAGAUCCCAAACAAAACUAAGGAAAACUGUAUUGGGCUUGAAAAUCCUCUUCGAUUAGAGUCACCACGAUAUAAGUAGCCUACUCUGUGGGAAUCGUCCAAAUCCCUGUAUGCACCAUCCUCAGAUUCAAUUGGAAGUAAUACCAACUGUAACACCAUAUAGGGUUGGACGUAGAUAUGCAAUUUAAUUUCAGAGUAGACCAAAAUGAUCUUCAACAUUAUCACUAUAUUUCGCCACUAUCUACAGUUCUCCAUCUAACCUUUUUUUUAACUUCAUAGAUCGCAGUUGGAAAACAAAUUGGAUUAUUCGAUUCUUUGUGUGGAAAAGCCUCACAUCCCAGUAAUAGGUCCGGAGAGUCCAGGUUCUGGAAGUCAUAAAAGUGAAGUAAAAAUUGCACGUUCUGAUGGUUGUGAACAAGAUAUAUGCUCAGUAUCUUGGCAUUGCUAUUGGUUUUUAUGCUCGGUAGAUAGCAGUGAGAAUGAAUUCGAUUACUAUUGUACACAAUUUUUUGACAGAAGGAAUUGUGUCCAUUAAAGGUGCUGCGGGAUUUGGUUGGCUGCAUCUGAGGAGCGAAUCUUCAUUGGUCAGACUUAGUGGGAGAAUGGGUCUGUGACGGCACUAUUGUACACAAUUUGCAAUGUUGCAACUCAGUUUAGAAUUUAAAAGAAGUGUCUCUGACGCAUAUCUGAUCGGAACCAGUACUAGGCAUGUAGGAACUGGAGGUCUCUUAUUGAUAUGAAUGUCUUGCCAUCAUAUCACCUUAAUUGUUUUUUUUUUCCAACCACAACAGUGAACUGUACAUGCAAAUUUAUUAUCCCAGCAGGAAAACUCAACAGUGAACUGUAUAUGCAAAUUUUGAUAUGUUGUUUUUUCAACCA